CCCAUGCCUCUGCUACCUGAGGAUCAACACAGCUGCUCGAAGUUUCGGGUUCGAGCUGGUGAUAAUUGUUGGAAUCCUGAUAGCUGGAUUGUUUGCUGCCAUUGUAGGUACAUACACUUCUAUCAAACAAAUAAUAAACCAUCUCUGAGACUGUGCAGAUGGAAUUUAAGAUCAGCAAAAAUAAAGUAAUUGUUUUGCAUGUCCAAGAAUUGCAUAAAAUCAAUAAAUCAGAAAACAAAAUACAAAAUACUGCAUAUCUUCAUUAUAAUUUCUGAUUUCCAGGAUAUAGCAGUUUCUGCACAUUUUCUGUGCAGCUAAUCUUAAAAACUGCAUGGAUAGCAAUUAACUGGUCUUAAUGCUUCACUGGUCUAAUAUAUGGUCUAUCAUAAGAUCAAUUAACUUAACAUAAUACUCCAAAUAAAUCAAGUAUUUGAUAUUUUUAUCACAAUCACCUAUCUCAAAAUAAUACUCUACAAAGUCUCAACUUAACCAUAGAACAGAAUUUUUUUUUUAUUAUUUUUUUUUUAUCACACACUUAUUAUACAGAUUGUAUCCUUCUCACAAUCAUCUAUCUCCAGGUAAUAUCUUGUAAAUUCACUUGUCUAUAAUACAUAAACUUUCAUCAAUCACAUAUCCCAAAAUGUAAAACACAAUUUAAUUCUAAACAUGGAGAUUUUAUUAAUCACUUAUAUUGUACAUAUCAUUUCCUUAUCUCUUAUUUACCUAAUUUGCUUAACAUUUAAGAAUUGAAUUCUCCAUAAUAUGUAGGGUAUUACUGCAAACCUUGCUAGACCUAUACAUUUAAAAGAAAUUCUUCAAUCAUCACAUAACUUAACACGAAUCUAAACAUUAAUGAAGACAAACACAGCAAGACAAUAGUUUUCCUAUACACUCUUGCUUAUAAACUGAUAACUUACUCGAUACUGUAGUCCUUUGCUCCGAUACCACCUCUGUCACAUCUCUAUUUUUGGGGUGUGACAGUAACAAGGUAGCUGACUUCCUAGCCAAUAUGGCAAUUACAGCAGGUCCCAGCAUGUGAUUCUCCCUUUUAGUUGCAGUCUCUUCUGUGGGAUGAUUUGCAAGGCAUGGCAUGGCCACGGGUUAUCAGACUUUAGUUU
rnacentral:lncRNA from 1 species